UAACAUCUAACUUGGUAGGAGAGCGUUCUCUGCGGGGUGAAGCAUGAGCGGAAGCGCGUGUGGACUUCAGAGAAGUGAGAAUGCCGGAAUGAGUAGCGAGAAUUAUGUGAGAAUCGUAAUGGCCGAAAGCCUCAGGUUUUAGAAGGAAGGUUCGUCCGCUUCUAGUUAGCCGGGAGCUAAGGCGAGGCCGAAAGGCGUAGCCGAUGCACAUACGGUAGACAAUCCGUAGCUGCCGAAAGAUUUAAAUUAGGGGACACUCUGAAAGGGUACAUCCCGGGCGUUGGUUGACCCGGGCGUAAGGGAGCGAAUUAUUCGCGAAGUGUGCUUGGACGGAGGCGAGAAAAGCCUAAUGUAUAUCUGCGGCACCCGUACCGCAAACCGACACAGGUAGGUAGGAGGAGAACUCUAAGGCCAACGGGAGAAGAGUUGUUAAGGAACUCGGCAAAUUGACCCCGUAACUUCGGGAAAAGGGGUGCUCAUAGCAAUAUGAGCCGCAGUGAAUAGGCCCAGGCAACUGUUUAUCAAAAACACAGGUCUCUGCUAAAUCGAAAGAUGAAGUAUAGGGGCUGACGCCUGCCCGGUGCUGGAAGGUUAAGAGGAGGAGUGCAAGCCCCGAAUCGAAGCCCCAGUAAACGGCGGCCGUAACAAUAACGGUCCUAAGGUAGCGAAAUUCCUUGUCGGGUAAGUUCCGACCCGCACGAAUGGCGUAAUGAUCUGGGCACUGUCUCAACAGCUCACCCGGCGAAAUUGUAGUACCGGUGAAGAUGCCGGUUACCCGCGACAAGACGGAAAGACCCCAUGGAGCUUUACUGUAACCUGAUAUUGGGUUUCGGUAUUUUAUGUACAGGAUAGGUGGGAGACUAAGAAACAAGGGCGCCAGCCUUUGCGGAGUCAACCUUGGGAUACCACUCUUAAAAUACUGGAAUUCUAACCUGCGGCCGUGAAUCCGGUCGGGGGACAUUGUCGGGCGGGCAGUUUGACUGGGGCGGUCGCCUCCGAAAGAGUAACGGAGGCGCUCAAAGGUUCGCUCAGCACGGACGGAAACCGUGCUUUUGAGUGUAAACGCAUAAGCGAGCCUAACUGCGAGACUGACGGGUCGAGCAGUAACGAAAGUUGGAGUUAGUGAUCCGGCGGUAUGUGAGUGGAAAUGCCGUCGCUCAACGGAUAAAAGCUACCCUGGGGAUAACAGGCUGAUCUCCCCCAAGAGUCCACAUCGACGGGGAGGUUUAGCACCUCGAUGUCGGCUCAUCACAUCCUGGGGCUGUAUUCGGUCCCAAGGGUUCGGCUGUUCGCCGAUUAAAGUGGUACGCGAGCUGGGUUCAGAACGUCGUGAGACAGUUCGGUCCCUAUCUGUCGUGGGCGUAGGAAAUUUGAGAGGAGCUGUCCCUAGUACGAGAGGACCGGGAUGGACGCACCUCUGGUGCACCAGUUGUUCUGCCAAGGGCAUAGCUGGGUAGCUACGUGCGGAUUGGAUAAACGCUGAAAGCAUCUAAGCGUGAAGCCAACCUCAAGAUUAGAUUUCCCAUAGCAUAAGCUAGUAAGGUCCCCGGUAGACUACCGGGUUGAUAGGCUGCAGGUGUAAGCGCAGUGAUGUGUGUGCCAGGCAGUACUAAUAGACCGAGGGCUUGACG
rnacentral:rRNA from 1 species